AUUUCUACAGCGGUAGGAGUAUUUUUAUUUACAAGGAGCGCUUUUGAUAUAUCUGAGUUUAUGCUAAGGAGGUGAUUUCAUGGCAGGCCCCUAGAUACUUUUAGGAGAGACGCUGACCCCUACAGAAAGACAACGUAUGUGAUUACACAGUUGGAACCUAGAGGCUCACCCCCAAAUGCCAGGGAGAGAAGAGGGACAGGAGGUUGAGUUCAACCACAUGGUCAUUGGUCCGACCAACAUGCUUACUUAACGCAACUCCAUGUAAAACUCUGGACACCAAACCCCAGAACAUGAACUCUCUGAGGGCAUGAGCUUUGUGUGUUCACUGGUAUGCCUCCAGUGUCUAGAACAGUGGCUGACAUACGUAUAAUCCAGGAGAGGAGACUGCAAAGCAAUUUAAGAACAUUAGCAUUGUUCCUAAAUACCCACAUCCAAGGAGCUGGAAUUCGUACCCCAGAGUCUCCAGUUCCAGAACUGUGAUCGUAGUGAAUGCCAUAAAGUCAAUAAACAUUACCAAGAGAGAGAGAAAGAGAGAAAGCAGGAGUAGGGGGAGAGGG